rnacentral:rRNA from 1 species
AGAGUUUGAUCAUGGCUCAGGAUAAACGCUGGCGGCGCACAUAAGACAUGCAAGUCGAACGGAAGUCGUUAUAUCUGAAAUGGAAAUGGACUGAGAACUUGUUCAAAGAAAGUUGAAGUAGAUCUUAUAACAAUGGCUUUAGUGGCGGACUGGUGAGUAACGCGUGAGCAACCUGCCUAUUAGAGGGGAAUAACAGUGAGAAAUCAUUGCUAAUACCGCAUAUGCCAUAGUAAUCACAUGAUUAUAGUGGGAAAGGAGUAAUCCGCUAAUAGAUGGGCUCGCGUCUGAUUAGAUAGUUGGUGGGGUAACGGCCUACCAAGUCGACGAUCAGUAGCCGGACUGAGAGGUUGAACGGCCACAUUGGGACUGAGAUACGGCCCAGACUCCUACGGGAGGCAGCAGUCGGGAAUAUUGCGCAAUGGAGGAAACUCUGACGCAGUGACGCCGCGUAUAGGAUGAAGGUCUUCGGAUUGUAAACUAUUGUCGUUAGGGAAGAGAAAGGACAGUACCUAAGGAGGAAGCUCCGGCUAACUACGUGCCAGCAGCCGCGGUAAUACGUAGGGAGCAAGCGUUAUCCGGAUUUAUUGGGUGUAAAGGGUGCGUAGACGGGAAAUUAAGUUAGUUGUGAAAUCCCCAGGCUUAACUUGGGAACUGCAACUAAAACUGGUUUUCUUGAGUGCUGGAGAGGAAAGCGGAAUUCCUAGUGUAGCGGUGAAAUGCGUAGAUAUUAGGAGGAACACCAGUGGCGAAGGCGGCUUUCUGGACAGUAACUGACGUUGAGGCACGAAAGUGUGGGGAGCAAACAGGAUUAGAUACCCUGGUAGUCCACACCGUAAACGAUGAAUACUAGGUGUAGGGUAUGUCAUGUACUCUGUGCCGUCGCAAACGCAAUAAGUAUUCCACCUGGGGAGUACGGCCGCAAGGGUUGAAACUCAAAGGAAUUGACGGGGGCCCGCACAAGCAGUGGAGUAUGUGGUUUAAUUCGRAGCAACGCGAAGAACCUUACCAGGGCUUGACAUAUACAGGAAUAUUUAAGAGAUUAGAUAGCUCUUCGGAGUCUGUAUACAGGUGGUGCAUGGUUGUCGUCAGCUCGUGUCGUGAGAUGUUGGGUUAAGUCCCGCAACGAGCGCAACCCCUGCUUUUAGUUGCCAGCACGUAAUGGUGGGAACUCUAGAAGGACUGCCGGUGAUAAAUCGGAGGAAGGUGGGGACGACGUCAAAUCAUCAUGCCCUUUAUGUCCUGGGCUACACACGUACUACAAUGGCUGUAACAGAGGGAAGCAACACAGUGAUGUGAAGCAAAACCCAAAAAGCAGUCUCAGUUCGGAUUGAAGUCUGAAAUUCGACUUCAUGAAGCCGGAAUUGCUAGUAAUGGCAGGUCAGCAUACUGCCGUGAAUACGUUCCCGGGCCUUGUACACACCGCCCGUCACACCAUGAGAGUUGGGAAUACCCGAAGCCUGUGAGCCAACUUUUAGAGGCAGCAGUCGAAGGUAGAAUCAAUGAUUGGGGUGAAGUCGUAACAAGGUAGCGUA